rnacentral:rRNA from 1 species
AGGGCGCAUGGCGGAUGCCUUGGCUCUCGGAGGCGAUGAAGGACGUGAUAAGCUGCGAUAAGCUUCGGGUAGGUGCAAAUAACCUUUGAUCCGAAGAUUUCCGAAUGGGACAACCCGACAUUCUGAAGGAAUGUCAUCCUGCUUGGCAGGAGGCUAACGCAGGGAACUGAAACAUCUUAGUACCUGUAGGAAAAGAAAAUAAUAAUGAUUCCCCAAGUAGUGGCGAGCGAACGGGGAUUAGCCCAAACCAAUGUUGUUACGGCAAUAUUGGGGUUGUAGGACCACGUUGUCGCAAGACAUUCAGUGAGAAGAAUUCUUUGGAAAAUGAAACCAUAGACGGUGAUAGUCCGGUAUUCGAAGCUGAACGAAGCGUAGUGGUAUCCUGAGUAGCGCGGGACACGAGGAAUCUUGCGUGAACCAGCCGGGACCAUCCGGUAAGGCUAAAUACUCCCGAGAGACCGAUAGCGAACCAGUACUGUGAAGGAAAGGUGAAAAGCACUUCGAAUAGAAGAGUGAAAUAGUCCCUGAAACCAUGCGCCUACAAGCGGUCGGAGCAGCUUAUGCUGUGACGGCGUGCCUUUUGCAUAAUGAACCUACGAGUUACUUUUUCCGGCAAGGUUAAGGAUCUGGAGAUCCGUAGCCGAAGCGAAAGCGAGUCUGAACAGGGCGAUAAGUCGGAAGGAGUAGACGCGAAACCAAGUGAUCUACCCUUGGCCAGGUUGAAGGUUAGGUAACACUAACUGGAGGACCGAACCGAUAAGCGUUGAAAAGCUUCCGGAUGAACUGAGGGUGGGGGUGAAAGGCUAAUCAAACUUGGAGAUAGCUCGUACUCCCCGAAAUGCAUUUAGGUGCAGCCUUGUGAGUUACUAAUGUGAGGUAGAGCGACUGAUAAGAUGCGAGGGCUUCACCGCCUAUCAAGUCUUGAUAAACUCCGAAUGCGCAUUAGUUCUAUCACAGGAGUGAGGGCAUGGGUGCUAAGGUCCAUGUCCUAAAGGAGAAGAAUCCGGACCAUCAGCUAAGGUCCCGAAAUAGAUACUAAGUUGAACUAACGAAGUCAGAUUGCUAAGACAGCUAGGAUGUUGGCUUGGAAGCAGCCAUUCAUUUAAAGAGUGCGUAACAGCUCACUAGUCGAGGAGUUUGGCGUGGAUAAUAAUCGGGCAUUAAGCAAUUUACCGAAGCUAUGGGAUGUUAACUAAACACUAACAUCGGUAGGGGAGCAUUCCACUCUGCGUCGAAGGUGAAGCGUGAGCUUUGCUGGAGCGUGUGGAAAAGCAAAUGUAGGUAUAAGUAACGAUAAAGGGGGUGAGAAACCCCCUCGCCGAAAGACUAAGGUUUCCUGAUCAACGCUAAUCGGAUCAGGGUUAGUCGGGUCCUAAGGCUCAGCCGAACGGUGAGGCCGAUGGCAGAACAGGUUAAUAUUCCUGUACUACCUUAAGGAGUGACGUGGAGACGGAGUCGUGACAACGCCGCGGACUGACGGAAUAGUCCGUUGAAGGGUGUAGAUGUUGAUUGUGGCAGGCAAAUCCACCACGAGAGUCGAACCUGAUAGUAUACCAAUUCCUUCGGGAAACGGUAAUAGUGCGUGUAAACAUACUCCCGAGAAAAUCCGCUAAACUUAAUCCUUGAGGUACCCGUACCGCAAACGGACACACGUAGUCGGGUUGAAUAUACUAAGGCGCUUGAGUGAUUCACGGUUAAGGAACUAGGCAAAUUGACCCUGUAACUUCGGGAUAAAGGGUCCCAACGAGAGUUGGGCGCAGAGAAUAGGUCCAGGCAACUGUUUAACAAAAACACAGGGCUGUGCCAAAUUGAAAGAUCACGUAUACAGCCUGACACCUGCCCGGUGCUGGAAGGUUAAGAGGAGAUGUCAUCGCAAGAGAAGCAUUGAAUUGAAGCCCCAGUAAACGGCGGCCGUAACUAUAACGGUCCUAAGGUAGCGAAAUUCCUUGUCGGGUAAGUUCCGACCUGCACGAAUGGUGUAAUGAUCUGGACACUGUCUCAACCGUGAGCUCAGUGAAAUUGUAGUAUCGGUGAAGAUGCCGAUUACCCGCGAUGGGACGAAAAGACCCCGUGAACCUUUACUAUAGCUUAACAUUGAAUUUGGGUAAUUGAUGUGUAG